GAACCUGCGGAAUGAUCAUUGUCGA
rnacentral:rRNA from 1 species